rnacentral:lncRNA from 1 species
GGGAAGAAACAGUAAGAAAUGUACAUUUCACUUGAUGAUGAUUGUCUUAGGGAUGAUAGGACAUCGUAUGAAAUAUAGAUUUCUUACUGUUUCUUCUCUAGUGAUCAUCCUGUAUGUAAGUCCCAUCAUCACAGCUCCUUCACAGUGGGACAUGAGUUGUCUUCCACAGGGAUGUAAGGACAGGAGCCCAUGGUGCUUGCAAGCUGCUCACAUCCCUCAAGAAGAAGAAAAGGAAAUGUCUAGAUCGAUAGCCUCCACAAAGAGUAAAAUGAGUUAAGAUAGAGUAGACAAAUGUGACCGUGCCCCUGCAUGCACAGUCAGUUAAAGCUCAGCUCCCCUGUUGGGAUAAAGGCCAGGCAACAGCUCUGUGAGGACCCCAGUGUCCAGCUGGUGUUGUACUUAAAGAAUGAUCAUCCUCAAUAAAGAUAACACUGGAAGAAGAUGCACCUAAUCCUGUAGAGACUUGAUGCCCCAGAGAAAGGAAAUACCUGGGGGAGUAUGGUACCACCCUCUCAGAGGCAAAGGGGAGUGGGAAUAGGAUGAAGAACUCUUGGUCUCUCAGGGGGGACCAAGAGGGAGGCAACAUUUGGGAUGUAAAUAAACAAGACAAUUAAUUUUUUUAAAAAAAAAUAAUAAAUAAAAUAAAGAUAACUUCAACUUCUGUCUAGUUCUCACCACAAAAGACUAUACAAGACAGCAUGUCCCUCUCUUGAUACAACUCCUCCCACUUGGGGGCUUUUCUCAUUCUUCCUUUAAAACAAAAAUAAUUACCUUCACUCUGCUCCCUCUUUGACCACAUCCUUUACUCUUCUUUGGUUUGACAACACACUAGGAAGCAGCUGGUUCCAGGCAGCUUUAGUGACCAUUAAUCAUCCUGUACCUUAGCUCUCCGCAUUGAGAAGGAACCGUAUCAAGAAUGUUAAUUAACUAAUUAAUUACUUAAAAAUAAAUAAAUAUCUCUUUUAUUACUUAAACUGACAGUUCUAAAUGUACUGUAUAUUUACCUGCAGAUAAGAUUUUCAGCUAAGAAAACUUAGGCUGUGUUUCUGCUUGACUAGAUAUUUGUUCUCUGUGGCGUCCCAUUUACAACGACUUCGAUAGGAAAUUGUCCCCUGUCCCAAGAUGAGGACCUCCCCUAUGCUAAAGCUUCUUUAUUUAGUCAAUUCUAAAGUCACUUAUGAAACUGUGUUGUAACUCCACCGCCAUAGGUAGCUCCUAUCCAUCCCUACCAACUGAUACAGUCUGUUUUCCUGCUGAUCAAGAUAUCACUUCUAUGUCUUUAGAUUUUUGAAUAAGUUCAUCUCCUUUGGCUUAACAAUAAGUAAAACAUGCUACCCUGAUAAUGAAGAUACUACAGGAGUAGGAAAUGACAGGGAAGAACAGACUUGUUCUUAAAUUAUAGCCAAAGCCUUCAAUAAUGCCGUGACCUUCAUGGUAGGCACACUCCCAUGGAUAAUUAUAUACACCUUUUUCCUCUUGCCUCUUAUAAUGAACUUAAUAAAAGCCACAUAGCUUCUAGCAGAGAAGAUUUUGAAGCACAAAAUAUUUCACAGAUCAUUUUCUUUGUACACCGUGGCCUAUAAUUUUUGGCAACACAGUAAACGGAGAAAUUAACAAGAGUAUUGAUGAGAGCCUUAAUUAAAUGAAAAUGUCAGAUUAAAACACUCAAAUUUUAAAAAUGCACUUAAUAUCAGGCAUGGUGGUAUGCACAUAUAAUCCCAUGGCUGAGGAGGCAGAGGUAGGAGGGUCAAGAUCAUUGCUGCUGCAUGAAGAGUUCAAAGCCAGACUGGGCUAUUAGAAACCCUACUUCAAAAGAACAACAUCCCCUCAUCAGGAAGUACAUAAAAGUCGGCUUAAAUGAGUCAAUUAAUUUUAAAAUAAUCAUGUUUUGAGAUGUUUAUUGUCAACUCAAAAGUAAAAAAUUAAGGAAGAAAUAUUUGAUAAAUUCCAAGAAAAAAGAAAUGAGGUAUCUGGAGGUAGGAAGAGGUAGGAAAGGGGCAGUGACUAAUUCUGCAGGCUUAAACAGUGAGCAUUUCAGCCACUGUAAUAAAACAUUGUUCUGGCACCAUCUGGACACAUUUUUACAACAAGUAAAAAUAGAUAAGAGAUUAUUAUAAACUUAUUAGAAAACAGUCAUCGGUGUUUGAGUCUUGGCAUCUGGAGAAGGAACAAAGCCUCCACAAAAGUUGUUGAGAAAUAGCAGAGGAUAAAGGAUGCCUGAAAGUUUCUCUUUCUCUCUAGCCCCGCCCCCAGUUCCCUUUAGUUGGAGAUCUCAAAAGUCUCUCAAAUACCCACUGUAAGAGUCCAACUGUAUUAGGUGAGACAAGCUUGGAGAGAAAGACCCACACACACACACCGGUGACAACUUGGAUUAAUGCUGCAGAAUUAAAAGCGAAUGUUGACUGUUUACUACCUUGAUCUCUAAAUGCUCUGAACAUUGAAACUUAAGUCUUAAAAUACAUAAAUUCUUGAUUUAUUCUUUCUAAUUUUACAGCAAAGACCAAUAGUAACACAGCC